GGAGAGGUGGCUCAGUGGUUAAGAGCACUGGCUGCUCCUCCAGAGGUCCUGAGUUCAAUUCCCAGCAACCACA
rnacentral:tRNA from 1 species